rnacentral:rRNA from 1 species
GGCUCACCUAGGCGACGAUCCCUAGCUGGUCUGAGAGGAUGACCAGCCACACUGGAACUGAGACACGGUCCAGACUCCUACGGGAGGCAGCAGUGGGGAAUAUUGCACAAUGGGCGCAAGCCUGAUGCAGCCAUGCCGCGUGUGUGAAGAAGGCCUUCGGGUUGUAAAGCACUUUCAGCGGGGAGGAAGGCGAUAAGGUUAAUAACCUUGUCGAUUGACGUUACCCGCAGAAGAAGCACCGGCUAACUCCGUGCCAGCAGCCGCGGUAAUACGGAGGGUGCAAGCGUUAAUCGGAAUUACUGGGCGUAAAGCGCACGCAGGCGGUCUGUCAAGUCGGAUGUGAAAUCCCCGGGCUCAACCUGGGAACUGCAUUCGAAACUGGCAGGCUAGAGUCUUGUAGAGGGGGGUAGAAUUCCAGGUGUAGCGGUGAAAUGCGUAGAGAUCUGGAGGAAUACCGGUGGCGAAGGCGGCCCCCUGGACAAAGACUGACGCUCAGGUGCGAAAGCGUGGGGAGCAAACAGGAUUAGAUACCCUGGUAGUCCACGCCGUAAACGAUGUCGAUUUGGAGGUUGUGCCCUUGAGGCGUGGCUUCCGGAGCUAACGCGUUAAAUCGACCGCCUGGGGAGUACGGCCGCAAGGUUAAAACUCAAAUGAAUUGACGGGGGCCCGCACAAGCGGUGGAGCAUGUGGUUUAAUUCGAUGCAACGCGAAGAACCUUACCUGGUCUUGACAUCCACAGAACUUUCCAGAGAUGGAUUGGUGCCUUCGGGAACUGUGAGACAGGUGCUGCAUGGCUGUCGUCAGCUCGUGUUGUGAAAUGUUGGGUUAAGUCCCGCAACGAGCGCAACCCUUAUCCUUUGUUGCCAGCGGUUCGGCCGGGAACUCAAAGGAGACUGCCAGUGAUAAACUGGAGGAAGGUGGGGAUGACGUCAAGUCAUCAUGGCCCUUACGACCAGGGCUACACACGUGCUACAAUGGCAUAUACAAAGAGAAGCGACCUCGCGAGAGCAAGCGGACCUCAUAAAGUAUGUCGUAGUCCGGAUUGGAGUCUGCAACUCGACUCCAUGAAGUCGGAAUCGCUAGUAAUCGUAGAUCAGAAUGCUACGGUGAAUACGUUCCCGGGCCUUGUACACACCGCCCGUCACACCAUGGGAGUGGGUUGCAAAAGAAGUAGGUAGCUUAACCUUCGGGAGGGCGCUUACCACUUUGUGAUUCAUGACUGGGGUGAAGUCGUAACAAGGUAACCGUAGGGGAACCUGCGGUUGGAUCACCUCCUUA